rnacentral:rRNA from 1 species
CCUACGGGGGGCUGCAGUGGGGAAUAUUGCACAAUGGGGGAAACCCUGAUGCAGCGACGCCGCGUGCAUGAAGAAGUAUUUCGGUACGUAAAGCUCUAUCAGCAGGGAAAAAAAUGACGGUUCCUGACUAAGAAGCCCCUGCUAACUACGUGCCAACAGCCGCGGAAAUACGUAGGGGCCAAGCCUUAUCCGGAUUUGCUGGGUGUAUAGGGAGCGUAGACGGGAGCGCAAGUCUGAAGUGAAAUCCCAUGGCUUAACCAUGGAACUGCUUUGGAAACUGUGCAGCUGGAGUGCAGGAGGGGUAAGCGGAAUUCCUAGUGUAGCGGUGAAAUGCGUAGAUAUUAGGAAGAACACCAGUGGCGAAGGCGGCUUACUGGACUGUAACUGACGCUGAGGCUCGAAAGCGUGGGGAGCAAACAGGAUUAGAUACCCGAGUAGUC